AAAAGAAAAAAAAGAUUAAUUGGUUUUAUAUUGUGUUGUAUCAUUUCUUGUGGUAGCUGUUAAAAAUAGAUAACCAGAGGCUAAUAGAUGUUAAUGGUUCCUUUCACUAUUAAAAAAUCAAUAUUUCUUGGAUAGCGUAUAUCUUAACGUAUUCUUUUUGCUUAAAAGUUCCCGAUUUGAAGAUUUCCUAACAAAUAAGUCUGCAUUUACAUACCAUCUUUGUUUUGCUAGCACUUGAAAUUUCAUGUCAAGUUGGAUAAAUAUAUUUUGUGUAAAUUAACCAUACUCUUGCAGAAAGAAGACUAGAAAACAUGUAGCCACUUGUCUUCCAUUAAAGAAAGUAGGUAUUCUAUACACGGCAUUGUUUUCUUAAAAUAUGAUUUUGUAAGCAUUCGUGUAAUUUUCAAAGGCUGCAUCAUCCAGGUUAAGUAACUUUUCCACAGCUUUCACAUAUUUAUUUCAAAUCUGUUGGAAAGCAGCUAGGUUUUCAAAUGUUAGUAGUUAAAAUUGUAAGCUAUUGAGUUAUUGACCAACACUAAGUUAUUAAUCAAGCUAAAAAAUUCUACAAGCAGGGUUCAGUGCUCUGAAGCAGUGUAAGAUAAUAGUAUUUGUGUUCAGUGAUGCAAGUAUCCACAAUUAAGCAGUUCACUUGACAAAUGAGAUAGUUACCUUUACUUUGCACUGAAGUGAACUAUGCGUGUUUGGUCACCACUGUCCCUUUCCCUCUAGUUUCAGUUUCUCGACUCUUAAGCAUAUACAUUUAUUAAAGAGAAAGCAAUUAAGUUGGUGUUGACCUCAACCCUAAAGAUGCAUACAUCAAGAACUAUGAUUUAAAACAUGGGUAAAAAACCAUUCCUAUCCUCCUCUCCCUCCAGUUAUUAAUUUUCUUAACAAAAAGCCUGGUGAGCAUUUAGGGACUCUGCCACUGAACUAAAUAAAAUACGAAAAGGGAAAAGAUCUGUAAUGUGUUAUGAAAUCAGUUUUGCAAAACAGAAAUGUAUUGACAGGACUUCUUUAUUCUCCAAUUCAGUUAGCAAGGGUGUUUGCAUUUCAGCUCUCCUGUCUCACUUUGCUGUCUUGUUUUCUUUUCUUCUUGUGUUUACAGUGUGUUUGUUAUGGUUCUGAAUUUGUAACAUCAAACACAGUCAGGUUUGUUUGUUUCCUGUGUUUGUUUUUAACAGAUCUCUUUCAAUCAGAUAAUGUUGAGAACCUAAUCUGUGGGUUUCAUUUCAAGAUCACAAAAUAGUCAUUUUCAGUCUGGCUGGAGUUCCCUGUGAAUUGGGUGUACUGUGCUAAGUGUGAAAAAAAUAAGAAAGGCAUAGAAUGUGUAGUGCUUGCUCACUAGUGUGCUGGAUUAUGUUUUUCAGGAUCUGAUGCCCUUAGGCUCUCAGGUAAUUCCUGCAGAUGUAUUUUGUACUUGCUAAAGACCAUGAAGGCUGGUGUUUGUGUCUACCAAGAAAGUCCCAGAGAAACAAACCCACAGCUCUCUUUGGAAAUUAUUGGGAAGACUGGGUGCUCCUCCCCACGUGGUUUUUGAUUCGUGACUAUGGGAUGCACUCAUGGCCCAGUGUUUCUCUUUCCUCUGCAGGCCCUACCAGUGUGGUCACUGCUCCCAGUCCUUCUCCCAGCCCUCGGAGCUGAGGAACCACGUCGUCACACACUCCAGUGACAGACCUUUCAAGUGCGGUUACUGCGGCCGAGCCUUUGCUGGUGCUACAACGCUCAACAAUCACAUCCGGACGCACACUGGGGAAAAGCCCUUCAAGUGCGAGAGGUGUGAGAGGAGCUUCACACAAGCCACCCAGCUGAGUCGACACCAGAGGAUGCCCAAUGAGUGCAAGCCAAUAACAGAGAGCACAGAAUCAAUUGAAGUGGAUUAACUGAUUGACUGGUUGGAAUUAAACUGCAAGGAAAGUCAUGAUUAAAUGUCACGGACACUUAAGCAAAACCAAAGAUUUCCUCUGAGCAACUUUCAAUCAGUCCCAGAAAACCAAAAGCAGUAAUAAAAUAAAUAAGAUGUUAAGAGAUAUUGAUCCUGGCAUGAAAGUGAGACCAGGAAAGAGAUUAUUUAUUUAUGACUAGGGAUGAGUCUUAUUUCAAUUGACAAGUUACUUGGGACUGUUAACAUUUCAACUCCCACCAUGUAUUGCUUUAAUUCUAAAAGCCUUUAUAAUUGUUAUUUAAUACCAAAGUGAGGAAUCUCAAGGGUUCUUCUGCCCACAGUUAUGACUGAGAAUGCACAUGGACUUGUUUAUUGUUGCACCUUUUUGUAGCCCAGAUGUAACCCUUAGAUUUGGCUGGACUGGGCUAAGUUGAUCUUGAUGUGGCUGUAACAGAAAUUGGUGUGUGGGAUGGGGAGCAAUUGAGAGCUAUAUCUGGGUCAGUGUCAGCCUCCUCAGACCAAAGGGCAUUUCAUUUCCAUAGUCUCAUGCUUCACACUGUGUGCACUUUUUCAUACAAGUAGUUUCAUUCAACGACCUUGCAUUGGUACAGAUAUUCUGGGGGGAGGGGAGGAGGGAGAAAGAGAAAUGGAAAAAAAAAAAAAAAAAA